rnacentral:rRNA from 1 species
UACAGAGGUCCCAAGCGUUGUUCGGAUCCACUGGGCGUAAAGGGUGCGUAGGCGGUCGAGUAAGUCUAACGUGAAAUCUCCGAGCCUAACUCGGAAACUGCGUCGGAUACUAUUCGGCUAGAGGAAUGGAGGGGAGAUUGGAAUUCUCGGUGUAGCAGUGAAAUGCGUAGAUAUCGAGAGGAACACCAGUGGCGAGGGCGAGUCUCUGGACAUUUCCUAACGCUGAGGCACGAAAGCCAGGGGAGCAAACGGG